UUACUACAAAAGAAAGGAAACAAGGGAAACAAGGGUCAGAGGACCGACAUUGACUAACUUAUGCGCCAAGGCGGGACUGCCGAUUUUUCUCGCACUUUCUUUCUCUUUCUCGAGAACCAAACAAUCCAAGGAAAAAAACUAGCGAAGAGACUCUGCGAGGGUUUAAUUCGAACUCUAAAACCCUAAACCUUGAAAAGGCUACGGAGAGCAAUGGAGGACGGUCGUGGUAAGGCGGUGUGCGGUCAGGAGGCUCUGGAUCUGCUCAACUGCGUCACCCUAUCUCCUUUCGAUCAAGAAAAAUGCGUCCGCCUCUUGAAUUCCUUGCGAGAAUGCGUGCUCAACAAGAAAGUGAAGAAGUUUUCACUAGCUGACCAGGAACAGAAGGAUGCAAAGCCAAUUGACAAGAAAGCUUGAUUGCAUUCGGUAUUGAUAGGAUUGCUAGGCCUGAGGUCUUUUCUCAUGUCGAUGACUCUUUCUUUCCCCUCUUCCAUUUUUAUGUUCAACACUUGUUGAGGUCAUAUUAUCACUUAACUGAUGGCUGUGUAUCUGAGAUCGGAAACCCUCAUGCUAUUGAUGUUUGCAAAAUGUUAUUUUGAUCUGGAUCUGCAGGGCAUUUCAUUUGGGAGUUUAGACGGAUGGCACCCAUUUUUGUAGUAUUUGAAACUCCCAUUUAUUAUGAUGUUAAAUUUUA